rnacentral:rRNA from 1 species
GACAGAGGGUGCAAACGUUGUUCGGAAUUACUGGGCGUAAAGCGCGUGUAGGCGGCUAUGCAAGUCGGAUGUGAAAGCCCUCGGCUCAACCGGGGAAGUGCACCCGAAACUGCAAGCUAGAGUCUCGGAGAGGAUCGUGGAAUUCUCGGUGUAGAGGUGAAAUUCGUAGAUAUCGAGAGGAACACCGGUGGCGAAGGCGGCGC